ACUACACAUUUGGGGAUUUUAUUACUCAAAACCACAGCAGGUGAACAACGGCUGGUAAAUCAACCACACCAAGGCUGAACGGCUGAAAGAGAUGAACGGCAGCAGGUGAACGACGGCAGUGAUGGUGGUGAACGGCGUAGACGGCAGCUGGGUUCUCGGUUCCAGCAUUCUCGACCCCUCUACUCAUGAAGCUCUCUUCUUCUUCUUCUUCUUCUUCUUCUUCUUCUUCUUCGUCUUAGUUUCUUUCUCUUUAUGUUAAGCAUGGCCGCGGAACCCGCUUUUGUAAGAAAAUCAAGUGCUUCAGCGACAUUGCUGACAUCAAAAUGCAAAGUUUCCAAACGCAAGACUUGCUCUUAUAUUUAACUCCCUCUUUAUUCUGCUGCCAGAGCUUCAUAUUCCAUGGAUGAAGACAAGAACAAGUUCUACAAACAACUGGGUUUAUUUGCAUUGAAAAGGAAGAUUGAAGAGGCAGUUUUGCGAGCUGAAAUGUUGGCCCCUGCGGCACUCGAACAUGAAGAGGCAAAAUGAAAUAAACAGGAAGAAAUGAUAUGGGCUUAUGACCUCUGGGACGACCUGCCAAAUCCGAUGUGAUUCUUGCCAAGUUAGCUGAUAGUGCCAAAGUGGUUGAUGCCCUUAAGGAUUUAACAUAUAAGGUUGAAGAGGCAAAGUUAAUAACGCAGUUGGCCGAGAUAGAUGCUAUCAAUUAUGGGCUUUUCAAGCAAGCAUAUAGUGCUUCUUUAGACAUAAGCAAGGUUUUGGAUCAUUAUGAGAUGACCAAGCUUCUAAAGGGGCCAUAUGACAUUUUUUGUCACCGAGUAUUGCUUUAUACCACUGUUUUUUUUUUUUUUUGUAUCAAUUGUUUUGUAUAUGUCAUGCACUAUCUAUAUUUAUGUAAAAUUGAAAUGGGGUAGGCAAUAGACACUAAGUCUGGCUAUAUAUACAUAUAAGAUAUAUAUAUUUCAAAAAAUUGGUUGAAAAGUGGUUGUUGUUCUGAUUGUAUUUUUGUAACCUUUGAUUAUGUUUACAUGUUUAGCUUCAGUGGUAAAACUGCUAAAAAGUACUCAAAACAAUGGACCUGUUUGGUUAGCCUUACUGGUUUUAUUAGAGCAGAAAACAUAGAUUGAUAUGGAUUCAUAUUAUUGCUUAAUUUUGUGGUUAAA